AACGAACGCUGGCGGCAUGCCUAACACAUGCAAGUCGAACGAGACCUUCGGGUCUAGUGGCGCACGGGUGCGUAACGCGUGGGAACCUGCCCUUAGGUUCGGAAUAACUCCCCGAAAGGGGUGCUAAUACCGGAUAAUGUCUUCGGACCAAAGAUUUAUCGCCUUUGGAUGGGCCCGCGUUGGAUUAGCUAGUUGGUAGGGUAAAAGCCUACCAAGGCGACGAUCCAUAGCUGGUCUGAGAGGAUGAUCAGCCACACUGGGACUGAGACACGGCCCAGACUCCUACGGGCGGCAGCAGUGGGGAAUAUUGGACAAUGGGCGAAAGCCUGAUCCAGCAAUGCCGCGUGAGUGAUGAAGGCCUUAGGGUUGUAAAGCUCUUUUACCCGGGAUGAUAAUGACAGUACCGGGAGAAUAAGCUCCGGCUAACUCCGUG
rnacentral:rRNA from 1 species